rnacentral:tRNA from 1 species
GCGAAGGUGGCGGAAUUGAUAGACGCGCUAGCUUCAGGUGUUAGUGUCCUUACGGACGUGGGGGUUCAAGUCCCCCCCCUCGCACCA